GCGGCGGAGCAUGCGGUAUUAAUUCGAUGCAACGCGAAGAACUUACCAAGGCUUGACAUACACCGGUAACGCCCAGAGAUGGGUGCCCCUUUGUGGUCGGUGUACAGGUGGUGCAUGGUUGUCGUCAGCUCGUGUCGUGAGAUGUUGGGUUAAGUCCCGCAACGAGCGCAACCCUCGUCCUAUGUUGCCAGCGGGUCAUGCCGGGGACUCAUGGGAGACUGCCGGGGUCAACUCGGAGGAAGGUGGGAUGACGUCAAAUCAUCAUGCCCCUUAUGUCUUGGGCUUCACGCAUGCUACAAUGGCCGGUACAAAGGGCUGCGAUACCGCGAGGUGGAGCGAAUCCCAGAAAGCCGGUCUCAGUUCGGAUUGGGGUCUGCAACUCGACCCCAUGAAGUCGGAGUCGCUAGUAAUCGCAGAUCAGCAACGCUGCGGUGAAUACGUUCCCGGGCCUU
rnacentral:rRNA from 1 species